UCAUCUUGCAGGAACUGCUGACACACUCCAGCCACAUGAGGUCUAGCAUUGUCCUGCAUUAGGAGAAUCCCAGGGCCAACCACACCAGCAUAUGGUCUCUGUGGUGGAUGCUUCUACCACCACCACAAAUUGUCAGUAUUGUUUCAUUGUUUUACAUUUAUCAGUUUCAGAUGACACUAUACAUAAGUUCAAGUUAUUUUAUUUAGACAGAUUUUCUAAUGGGUGCACACUUUAGUUAGGAUUUGUCUGAAUGGUUUACUUAUACUUGUUUUUUUUUGUUGAGGUUCUGCAAACGCAGACCAGCUGGAGGUGGAAGCCAGGAACAUACCAUUAUUCCAAAAGACUGAGGGGGGGGGGGGCUUAACUUCUUAACUUGUUAAAGUUGUUAGUUAUUUUGUCACUUUAGUAUUCACUUAUUUGUGUUAAGUUAAAGAUUAAUUUGUGUCAUUUAUGUUUGUUAAUUUUGUAUGUAUUUUUUUUCCAUUUGUCGUUCCUCUUGUGUUGUGCCUUCCCCAUUUGGUGAGUCUAGGUUAUUCCACCCCUAUUUAAGUAGCCUUUGUUUUUUUGUCUUGAGGUCAGUUUUGUUUGAGUUUUGUUGCUGUUCAGUUGACCUCAGCUGAGUUGGUCCCAAACUCAUGUCAUUUAUUAUCUGAGUUAUUUUUGUAUUGAAGUUGACCUUUUGUUAACUAUUUUUGACAGUAUUAAAUUGAUGUUUUUCCAAUUUUUGAACACCUUUUGUCCUUGCUUAAGUCUGGUCCACCACAGUUGGUGUCAGGAGUGGGAUUUAAUCAGUUAAGGACAUUGGUGUUUUUUAUUUUUUCCUGGUUUUGACCAUUUUUGCAAGAAGAGGAAGAAAUGCCUGGAAGGGAAAGAGGACAAAUAACAGGAGGAUCCAGCUCUGAGCCAGAUGAAAGAGAUGCUGUUGAGGAAGGUGGACCUGUUGGUGGAGUGUUUGACAUGGAAGAGAAGGGGAGUGAACCAACACUAUCAGAUUUGGCUGGUCUUCUCAGAGCCCAUCUAGGACAACAGAAGGCCAAGGAGGACUACUGGACAGAGAAGCUGCUAAGCAAGAACAGAAAUUUGAGGAACUGGAAAAACAGUUCAGCUUGUUUAGAAGUGAGAUUCAAUCUCAGACCACUUCCCCAGUGCGGCCUACACAACCACCAGAUUCUGGAGUAGCAGCUUCCCCGCAACACAGUCUAUCAGUGCUGUGGGGAGGGUUCUUGGGACUGAGAGGAAAAAAAAGAAGAGGACUCUGGCUGGCCCGCUGGUGCACAAAGUGUUGAUUGGGAGAUACCAUGCAGAGCUGUACCAUGGGGGAGGACCAUGGAGUCAUUUGUUCUUGCAUACGUUCUUUGCUUUGUGAUUUUAUUUUGUUAAUUUUAUGUUUAGUUAUUAUUUAGGUUGAUUCUUAAAAUAACUGUGUUAGUCCCUUUUUGUUAAAGUAGUAAAUGGAUGUUCCCCUUCCCUCCUCCCAUGUGUGUAAGUCUGGUCUCAUCAGCCAGUAUUUAAGCCCUCUUUUUCUUAGUUGUGUGACAGGUCAGUUAAUUAUGUUUGAAUAGUUAGUUGAGGUGGUAUUAUGUUAUGAUUUAGUUUCUUCAUUUAACCUAUUUUAAGGGCCCUGCAUUAAUUGUUUGAGUUUUGCUAUUUUAGGUAAAUAAAACCCACUUUUUUUAAAAAUUA